UUUAGUUUAAUAAACGGUGCCGUUAUUGCCGCCUUGAGAUGAGUAGUAGUAGUAGGUGAGAAGUAGAUGAUACCAAAACAAAAUGUGACUCUUAUCUUCUCUUUGUUCUAUAAAAUUUAAAACAUGUGUCCAAAUAUAAUUGGGCUUCUUUAUAUAUAUGUAGAACCACCAAUAAAGAACUGGAAGUUGUAUAGCAUAUAUUUAUAUGAGAGAUUAUAAAACUAUAUAUAUUAUAUAUAUUCAGUAUCAAAACUAUCAUAUUUUUUUCAACCAAACUAUCAUUUUUAAAUCUACAUUUUUAGUGUACAUCAACAUUUAUUCAGCGGUAACUAUUGAUAAAAAAAUCAAAUAAAAACUAUGCGGAGUUUAAAACUGUUAACUUACUUUCCUACUCAUACUUUAAGCAAGAGCUUUGAAGUUAUAAUCUCAGGUUCUUUUAUUUACUAGGUGUUUUCUUCUAUCAUGUGCAAUUAAUAAAAUAUAAUUUAAAUUAUAUUUUAAAUUUUUUUUAUUAAUAUUUUAAAAUUUAUUAUUUUCUUACCUUUGUUCUAUAUUGAAUUGCAAAUACAAAAAUGAUAGAAUCUUUGUUGAUUAUACUAAAUUAAUAUGAAAGGGCUAAAAAAAUUGAAAGAAGAUACCAAAGAAAAAAAAUAAGCAUCUAUAUGUAAUUUGUAAUAUAAAUUUUGAUUUUAUUAAAGAUAGAUAAGAUAAAAUAAAUACUUCUAUUAUUUUAAUUUAUAUUUAAUAAUAUAUAUAUAUAUAUAUAUAUUUAAAAUUAUAAUUUUAGAUAGAUUUUUAUCUAUUUAUAUUGGUUAGCAUAUGAUUAAAUCAACCUGUAUAAAAUUAAGAAAAAAAGUUUGCUAAAAAAAUUAUAUAAUUAUCAAAAAGUAAAACUAAAUAUUAUUUCUAAAAUUUGUAGAUACCAAAAGGAAACUAAUGGCAUUAGGAUUAAAAAUUUAUUAUUUUUUAAUAAAUUGCAUAAAAUUUUAAAAUUUGUAAAAUAUUGUUAUAUUUCUUUUAUUAUAUUAUUUAAUGUUAUAUUUGAAUAUUUGAACAUAUUUACUUUAAUGAUGAUUUAUUGGUUAUUAUCUUAUUGUAAGAAUUUUACCAAAAAUAUAAAUCAACAUUAAAUGUAAUUGUACAUGUCACAAUUAGAUAUAAGUCAUGUCAUAAUUGAUAAUAUGUCAUGUUAUUUUUUUAGUGAAAAUGUUUGUGGAAAUGACACAUAAUUUUUUUUUUGAAAAAUCACAAUCUUUAGGGGAUUGGAGAGACCGUAUCUUUCUUUGUAGGGUUUGGUAAUUUAAUCUCUAAUUCACACAAUCUUAUAGCUUCUUUUACAUAUUCACUUUCAUAUAUCAGAUAAACUCUUAAGAUUUGUAAGCGAACUGAAGAACAUUAUAGAAUAUACUCUAAAAUGUUAAGAAGAUAAAGAUCAAAAUAAGAUGAUUAUCCAUCUUAGACACAUGUUUUUCUUACAGUAAUCAUGUCAUCUAUCACCUCUUAGUAUUUUAUCUUUUUCUAGUAAAGCAACCGACUUAUGUGUAAUAUAAACAGCAUUCAUUUUCUUUACUUUGUACGUACAACAAGAAGAAGAGUUUAUAAUAAAAAAAAAGAAUCAUUUGCUCUUAUCUCUCAUUACUCUCCAGCAUAAAUAUAUAUAUAUAUAUAUAUAUAUAUAUAUAUAUAAUAACUAUAAGCAAAGCUAUAGUUAUCUAUUUACUCCUUUUUAUUUACAACACGUUAUCAGCACGAAACUCUGACCAACUGAGGUUUAUCAAUCCGAAAGUUCUUAAACCAGUCGAGGUAAUAUUUAAAUUUAUGUGUUUGAAUAUACUUAAUUUAUUUAAAUUUUAUUAUUGUUCCGGAGUGAGAGGUUAGGCCUUCUCCGUUUAUUUUUCGGGAUGAUAGACGAUGCCUUUCCCGACUGAUUGUUAUGGUAGGAUAUGCCUUCACGAUCAGAUGAUCACGUGGUAGGAUUUACCUCCGUGAAUUGAAAAAAAAAAAGAUCACGUGGUAGGCUUUGCCUCCGUGAAAUGAAAAAAAAGAUACAUGGAAGGCUUUGCCUCCGUAAAUAAAAAGAAAAAGGUCAAAAAUGGUAGACUAAGUCUCCGCGGACCUUGAAAUAAGUAAAGGUCAAAAUGGUAGAUCAUGUCUCCUCGGACUUUGAAAAAUGAUCAAUAUGGUAGUCUUUGACUCCUCGGAUCAUGUGGUAGGCUAAGCCUCCUGAUUUUAUUUAUGCUAUUUAAAUUUCUGCAAUUUAAUUUACGCAUUUAUUUUAUGCCUUCAAUUUCUGCAUUUAAAUUCUCGUCUUUAUUAUAAUAUUAUUCUAUGAAUAAUGUUAUCAUGUGAGUUUUGACAAAGCUCAAAAUAGGUGCCCUUGGUAUUACGAGAAAUAAUUAUAAGACUUGGGCAGUGAGUGCAAAUAUGCACCUGAGAAAAAAUGAGCUUUGAGAAAUCAUCGAUAAAUUGAAACAAUAUCGGAUGAGAAAAGAAUAAAGCCAUGAUAAUUUACAUCACUUCAAUGAUGGUUUAUAAGAUGAGGUGUAUCAUGAGAAAAGAUCUAGAAGAUCUUUGAAUAAUUAAAUCCUUGAAAGAAAAGAUUCAAUAAAUAGUUGGAGUUGAUGAAAAUCCUCCUUGAAAACUGAAAAUAAGGGAAAUGAAAUCAUGAUACUAAACCAUCAAGUCGGUCCUAUUAGAAAAGGACGAGGGUGUAGAUACAGUUGAAACUCCCUAUCGUGGUCGUGGAAGUGGACGAGGAAGAAUAUUUUGUCCAUGCGAAAUAGUUAGAACUUCCAAGAAAAUAAAAGUGGUCGGGUGAUAAAAGGCAAACAUAAAAGGUUUGCUAUAGAUAUGGCUAGAAAGAAAAUUGGGUACGCAGUUGUCGUAUGCCAAAGAUUUAGCCGAUCUAUAUCGAGAAUCAAAAAGAAAAAGAGAAAGGAAGUAUAUUAAACUUUUUCUCUUAUGAGCCCGAACCAUCUUUCAUAGUUUGAAUACUCAUCUUGAUGUGAUAGACUUUCUCGGUGAACCAGAGAGUAUCAAUGAUAUAAUGAUUAUCUUCCUGAAGAAGAUUUUGAGAUUCAGGAUGGAGAUAGAAAUACUUGGCAGAUAUUGGAUCAUCGUACAUGACAAAUAAAGGUAACAAAUAUUUCUUUUCUCUCAAAAUAAAUAAGUAUAGUAUCUAGUAAUAUAAAAAUUAUUAUUGCUCUAGAGGAGCUUAUGAUGAAAAGACAUGCAUAAAAAAAAGAUGGCAAAAUUAUAAACGAGUGGUAAACCUGGAGUUUACUGAUAUAUAGCCAUCUCCAAUAAUGUUAUCGACAUUAUUGUGAAAUGUUGAAAAACCAGAAGUUUUUCACAUAUAGCAUGUCAAGAAAAUAAAGGAAACCAUCAUGGUGAUGAAUCAUCAAACAAGUUCACAAUAUGUGAUUUCUUUAAGCAGAUCCCAAAUUAAGAUCUCACUCUAAAGGAUUUGAAACAUAAUUCAUCCCAAAUGGAAAAACUGAAUAUGUUAUUGGUUCUAGAGUGGGAUUCAGUACGAGAUUUUAGACAUGGAGUGUCAUCAUCUCGAGGAGGAGAAUUAAAGAAUCCUAGUGAGUGGAACAUUGAAAAAUUAUGUUCGCACUUGAAAAAGAACUUGAUAAAGUAAAUUCAAGUAAGAUGAUCCCCAUGAUUGGGUGUAAACAUGCAGUUGUGCAUGUAAUAAAGACAUAUACAAUCCAGAGGGAUAAUUAUAUGGAUACUUAGAAAUAUGCUCGCAAGUUUGCUAGAAGCAUAUGAUAAGCUGAUGGAAUGAGAUAUGUGAAAUGGAUUACAAUGAAAAGUAGAAUAAUCCAUUUACAAAAUGCCUGCCAGACAUUUUGAUGAAAUAAUGAUAUCUCAUAUUCCAGCUGAAAAUGCUCCAAUAAGAAAAUAGUGUCCUAAACGGACGAUAUAUGAGUCUAUAGCACGCUAGAGACGUGAUAGACCACUUUGGUUCCAAAGAGUCCUCGAAAAGGAGAAAAAAUAUAAAUAGAGGAUGAAUCUCAUGAUGAGACCGUUGAUAUGGUUAAUAUAACAGUCAGGUACCUGGGUAAAUCAUCAAUGAUGAUAAAGAGAUCUCGAUUAACCGUAUCAGUACGGAUAAAAAUAUGGAAUCAAAGAGAAAAUAGAUUGUCGACAAUAAAUAAAUGAAAAAGCGCUAUAAAAAUAAAGAUUAUGAAUCUACCUCUAUGUAUGAGGGUAGAGUGAAUUGAUUGGCCAUCAAUUCGAUAUAAAGCUCGUUAGAAUAACGAGAGAUUUUUGGACCAAAAGUCCAAGGUAUAUAUUUCUCCAAAGAAUGUAAUGAAAGAUGACCUUGAGGUAUGAAAAGCGGCUUGUUCCAAGGUCACUGGAGAAAAUUUAAAAUAGAUGCAAUAUAUUGAAAUGUCUGGCAGGACAAAAAUAACUUGAGUUGCAUCUUGAUUUUUAGAACUCCCUGGAGAGUUAAAAAUGCUCUCGGGAAUGUAUAAAACAAACUCUAGAAGAGUUAGAACAAGCAGUAUAUAAGGUAUCUUGAACCGGUAACUGAUGAUAUGUUUACGGCACGAUUUGCCGAUUGCCAUUUUAAUGAGAAUGAAUUCCAGCGUUAGGGGGAGGAAUUUGAGAAAUUCCUAAAUAAAUUACAUGGUGUACACAUUCGUUGUUACACUUUGGUCCCCCUAAAAAUCAAAGAAGAGCUGGAAGUUCAGGAAAUUGUGCAUUUGAAUAAUUUGGCAAACUAGUUACCAAAUGUGUUCACAGAUACAACAUGAUAUACCCGCUGAAAAUGUUCCAUCAAGAGUUGAUGUUCCUAAAGAACAAACUGAUGGGAAUAAAAUGAAUGAACCUAGGGUUCAGUUAAAGAAGGGGAGACUAGCGGGUUCUAGAGAUAAAAAUCCCCGAAAGAAUUUGGUUGAGAAAAGUUGCAAGGUUCCUGGAGAACCUGAUACUGAAAAAUGUCUGAAAGAAGACAUAAGUGGAAAGGUUGAAAGAGAACCUGAUACUGAAAGAUGUCUGAAAGAAGGCAUAAAUGGUAAGGUUCCAGAAGAACCUGAUACUGAAAAAUGUCUGAAAGAAGGCAUAAAUGAAAAGGGUCAAGAUGAACCAAAUAAAGAUGAUCCAGAUGACGAAAAGGGAACAGAAAAGUAUGAGAUUUCCAUCAACUACACCCUUAAUGAAAAGUUAUAAGAUAAAAGAUGUUGAUGGAAUGUUUUUCUUUUCUGUGUCCAAAGAGAUCGAUCAUAAAAGUGAUGAUCCCGAUCGAAGGUCCAUUUUGGAAUGUUAAAAAGACAUGAUUGGGAGGAGUGGCAGAAGGCCAUUCAAAUUGAAUUAUUCUCCCUAAAGAAAAUGAAUGUCUUUGGACCUAUAGUCAUAACGUCUGAGAAUAUAAAUCUUGUUGGGUAUAAGCGGGUAUUCGUGAGAAAAGUAACACGAUAUAAAACCUGAUUAGUUGCCCAAGAUUUUUCUCAGAGACCGGGAAUUGAUUUUGAGGAAACGUAUUUCCCGGUAAUGGAUGCAAUUACGUUUAGAUUUUUGAUGAGCCUAACGGCGUCAAAAAAUCUUGAGAUGCAUCUCAUGGACGUUGUGACUGCAUAUUUGUAUGGAUCGGUGGAUAACGAUAUAUAUAUGAAACUUCCAGAGGGAUUGAAAAUGCCAAGGGCAUUGAAAGAAAAAUCCAGGGAGAUUUGUUCGGUCAAGUUACAGCGAUCACUUUACGGAUUAUAGCAAUCCGGACGCAUAUGGUACAAUCGCUUAAGUGAAUAUAUCUUGAAAAAGGAUAUGUUAAUAAUGCGAUAUGUCCAUGCGUUUCUAUAAAGAAAUUGCCAUAUGGCUUUGUAAUCAUUGUUGUAUAUGUAGAUGACCUGAACAUAAUUGGAACUCAAAAGGAGGUUGAUGAUGCUCGAACUCAUAUGAAAGAGGAGUUCGAAAUAGAUCUCGGCAAGACAAAGUUUUGUCUUGGGCUUCAGAUAGAGCAUUUCCGAGAAGGAAUAUUUGUGCAUCAAUCAAACUAUACAAAAAGGUUAUUGAAACGCUUUUGUAUGAAUAAAGUGACUCCUUUGAGUACUCCAAUGGUAAAUAGAUCUCUCGAUAUGAAAGAGAUGUUUAAAAGAUCCUCUAAGAUCUUAUAUAAAUAAGUACUUUGGAGAUGCUAAUAGUAAUAAAGCAUUUGUGAGCUUAUAUGUCUUGCAAGUUGUAUUUGAUAAAAUAUAGUUUUAGACACUAAUGUCUUUGCAAGAUACAGUUUCCUAUUUAUGGAAAUUAGAAUGGCAUCGAGAACAUGUCAGUUCUCUCCAAGGUACGUAUUGAUUUAGGAUUGAUUUAUCUUAGAAACCCCGAGUUUGGUAUAGUUUUGCAGAUACAUGCUAUUUAUAAAGUCGAACGCAAACCGGAUAUGGUUUUACAACUGGUGGAACCGCGAUCUCUUGGCGGUCCCAGAAACAAACUCUGGUUGCAACAUCUUCAAAUCGUGUAGAGACUAUUGCGCUUCACGAAGCAUGUCGAGAAUGUGUGUGGCUUCGGUCAAUGAGUCCCCACAUACAAGAAUCAAACAGAUAGUCAACGAAAAUGAGCCGACGAAAUUUUUUGAAGAUAAUUCGGCUUGUGUUGCUCAACUCAAGGAAGGCUACCUUAAGAGCGACAGAACAAAGCACAUCUCUCCAUGAUUUUACUCGUACAUAAGGAAAUUUGAGAAAAAUAAAGAAGUGGACAUCGAGUAUAUACGGUCAUGUAAAAAUCCGGCUGACUUGUUUACCAAAACUCUUCCGACUACAACAUUCCGAAAACACGUUUACGGUAUCGGAAUGCGACGUUUGCGUGACCUGUGAAGAUAAGGCUAUGUCCAUUAUUCUCAGGGGGAGAUUACGUCACAGUACUCUUUUUUCCUUAUCAUGGUUUUUAUCCCAUCGGGUUUUUCCAUGACUAGGUUUUUAACGAGGCUGUACGUAAUACAAGACGGAUAAUCAAGGAGGAGUGUUAGAAGAUAAAGAUCAAAAUAAGAUGAUUAUCCAUCUUAGACACAUAUCUUUCUUACAGCAAUCAUGUCAUCUAUCACCUCUUAGUAUUUUAUCUUUUUCUAGUAAAGCAACCGACUUAUGUGUAGUAUAAAUAUCAUUCAUUUUCUUUACUUUGUACGUACAACAAAAAGAAGAGUUUAUAAUAAAAAAAGAAUCAUUUGCUCUCAUCUCUCAUUACUCUCCAGCAUAAAUAUAUAUAUAUAAUAACUAUAAGCAAAGCUAUAGUUAUCUAUUUACUCCUUUUUAUUUAUAACAUAAAAGAGUUUAAUUGUGAUAUAUUUUAUUAGUAGUCUAGGCUUGGAGGCUUCUUUAUACGUGUACAUAAGCUUUUUCGAGCGUUGAAAACUUGCACACUUUCUUAUCAUUCUAGGGGGUUACAGCGUUGGGCCAGAUCAUCUUCUGCUAAACUUCUUCAUGAAGAAGGGGAUGGUGUUGCAGCUCGUGUCUUGGAGAGUUUGGGUGCAGAUCAUAGUGAAAGCAAGUUACUGAAUGCAUCACCUCUUGAAUUCUCACAAUCAUUGUUAUGACUUAGGAACAAACUCUUGAUUGCCUUUUGAGCAUAAUUGAAAUCUAUAUUAUUAAAACUGAAGUACAUUUUGGUACUGUUUACAAACUUAGAUAGUAGAUUAAAUGAAAGUUGUUUAGAAACAAGGAUAGCAGAUUAAAUAUUUUUUUAUUUACAUAUUUAGUCACUGUAUUUUUUUCUCAUUUACAGAUUCUGUCGUUUGGAAACUUGGAUAGCAGGUUAAAUGAGAAAUGUUUGGAAACACGGUUAACAGAUUAAAUAUUUAUUUUUAUUUACAUAUUUAGCCAUUGCAUUUCUUUCUUAUUUACAAAUCUGCCACUUCACUUAAAAUAAAAAAAAUUAAAUUAAUUA